CAACAGUUAGUCCACAGUGUCACAUUUCUUCCUGAGUGACUUUAUAUACACACAAGGUAAUGUUUUUCUUAUUAUUUUCUUAUUCCCUCCUUCAACAGUUAGUCCACAGUGUCACAUUUCUUCCUGAGUGACUUUAUAUACACACAAGGUAAUGUUAUUUUUAUUAUUUUCUUAUUCCCUCCUUCAACAGUUAGUCCACAGUGUCACGGUAAUGAGUGUAGCACAAGCCCAGUGACCCUUGAAUCUCCCUUGAACUUAAAAUCUCAAUGAUGCCAAAACUAUUCUACUCCUAAACACAAUCUCUCACCACCCCUAUAGUUGAGACCUGUCCACACACACACACACACACUACGCUGCCAGGAGUGGGUACUGUCCCCCCAUGAGCUAAAGGAGUGGAGUGUGUGGUGUGUGAGUUCCCCGAGUACCCUGAGAUCAGUCCUUUCAAUUAGCUGUUUUCAGGAGGCUACUGGCUGGUCGUCAUGAGUCUAGUAUGUGAUUGGACCAUGGGUGAAUGAUAGCUAAGGAAUAUUCAGUUGAUAAGUUAGUCAGCUGGUAAAUCCCUUCUUUCUUCUUCUUCUUCCUGGUUCUUUUCCUCCUCCUCCUUCUUCUUCUCACAUUCCUCUGUCUCCAUUUUCUCCAAUAUCACACACACACACACACACACACACACAUCGCCACCUAUCUUUCCAGUAUUCCUCACGUCGCCUCAGGUUAAAUGAACAUGACUUGACCCUUCUCUUGAGGUCAGGGAGGUCAAUGAAGGCUGUCCAGGGCGUAUAUACAUGAUUUCCAACCUUGGCCGCCUCACGAGAUCAGAACACGAAACUAACUGGUCUUGUUAAGGUCAUGUUCUUAAAUGUAUCAGCACCUCACUUUGCCUGUUUGAAAAGCCUCUUGUAGAAGUUGCUGGGAUUUUCAUGGACUGUUUUGUGAUGUCAGGGAUAGUUUUACAUGACUUCUGCAACUUGAACGGGAAAAACACCCAUGAAAACCCAGCUAAUCUUCCCUGUGGCCUCGGGAAAUAGUCAUAAUGGGAGACCGAGACGCCUAUUUGAAGAGCCUCGCGUGGAAGUUGCUGAGAUUUUCAUGGACUGUUUUGUGAUGUCAGGGAUAGUUUUACAUGACUUCUGCAUCUUGAACAAGAAAAACACCCAUGAAAACCUGGCUAAUCUUCCCUGUGGCCUCGGGAAAUAGCCUCUCGUAGAAGUUGCUGGAAUUUUCAUGGACUGUUUUGUGAUGCCAGGGACAGUUUUACAUGACUUCUGCAUCUUGAACGGGAGAAACACCCAUGAAAACCCGGCUAAUCUUUUCUGUAACGUCGGAAAACAGUCGUAACGUGAGCGUGAUGCAUUUAAAAAUAUGUACCUAGGCAUUCUCUUUUAUUUCAUUACAGGAGUGAAUGAUAAAAACUGCCAUGAUUUAUUUUACAGCGCAGCACGUAAGGUUAAAAAAAUAACACCCACAUCCUGCCAUGAGAUUUUUCGUUCCCGGUGUCUUUUUUUUAAAUCUCUCAGAAUCACGCAACACACUAGCAGCUAUUAACUAUUACUGUACUGUGUCAAUAGCUAUGUCUCCAGGUAAGCUGUAGCUGUAGUCAUAAUGAUUGGGAUGAUUCAGAAGUGACCACAGGGAGAGAGAGAGAGAGAAACCCCAAAAUUUAACUUACGUAUAUUAAAAUUUUUCGCUUCAUUUUUAACCACUGAUUGAGAACUGACCGCACAGAGAGAGAGAGAGAGAAAGAGAAAGAGAGAGAGAGAGAGAGAGAGACCCAAAACAGCAACUUAUAUUAAAUUUUUCACUUCAUUUUCAACCACUGAUUCGGAACUAACCGCACAGAGAGAGAGAGAGACCCCAAAAAAUCAACUUAUAUCAACCUUUCCGCUUCAUCUUUCAGCCACUGUGCAAUGUCCGGCAAUAUGUAAUGACAUCGUAAUUUUAUGCGACGGAAAUCAAUGGAAAAUCACCGUAUCCAAGCUAACUCUGGUCUCCCUCCCAUAUCCAGCACUUCUGAAUUAUCCCACUGCGAGGUUUUAGCAGUAGUGCCAAGACAGGCUGAGUCCGCCACCCCAGCCAGUUCUAAGGGCCCUGGGCUGGUUGGCUGGCGGGCUGGACGUAAGUUUUUGUACCUCUUAGUAAAGGUCCGAGUAUAGUCUGUUUGGCGGCCACGUAGGGAGCGACGAGUCCAAUUCCCGACCGAUGUGACGAGUGAAAUGAUUCCUAGUCUUGCUUGAUGAUGAGACGCUGUGCACCCUUACCCCUUACCCUUAAAGACUGUAUUCUUAAACGUAACGGCACCUUAGUAUACCCCUGUUUGAAAAGCCUCUCGUGGAAGUUACUGGGGUUUUCAUGGCCCGUUUUGUGAUCCUGGUGAUAGUUUUACACGACCUCUGUAUCUUGAACGGGAAAAUCACCCAUGAAAACCCGGUUACUCUUCCCUGUGGGCUUUGAAAACAGACGUAAUGGGAGCCCGAGACGCCUGUUUGAAAAGCCUCUCCUGGAAGUUGUUGCUGGAGUUUUCGUGGCCUGUUUUGUGAUGGUACGGACAAAUUUACACGACCUCUGAAUCUUGAAAGGGAAAAACACCCAUGAAAACCCAGUUACUCUUCGCUGCGGCCUUUGAAAACGGACGUAAUGGGAGCCCGAGACGCCUGUUUAAGAAGCCUCUCAUAGAAGUUGUUGCUGGAGUUUCCAUGCAUGGCCUGUUUUGUGAUGCCUAGGGACAGUUUUACAUGACUUCUGCAUCUUGAACGGGAAUAUCACCCGUGAAAACCCGGUUACUCUUCCCUGUGGCCUUGGAAAACAGUCGUAGUGGGAGGCUGAUACGUUUAACAAUAUGGAUCUUAGUUAGUCCCCUUUAGAAUCAGGUUAGAAGUUGUUGUUGUGGUCUAUAGUCAUUGCUUUGUACAGACAUCCAUACAUUCAUACCCAGUGAUAGAGACCGAGUAUUUUCUGUAUAUCAAAGCUGUUCACACUACGAAUAUGUGGUUGUAUUUUGCAUCAGUAUAACCAAGGAACUGUUGGGUAAAUGCCUAUGCACUGUGAUAUUUUCAGCAUAUACAGUAAUGAUGCUUCCCGCUUACCUACUGAAAGGUGUGUGUGCGUGCGAUGUGUGUGCGUGUGCGUGUGUGUCGCUUAGGAGAGCUUAGUUUGUUUUUUAUGAGCAGAGCCUUGAGGCCUGCGUGUUGAGUGUGAGCUGUAGCGCCGGUGUCCCGACCAAAGACGAAAUAUUAAUAAUAGUUGUGAGCGUAGUUUCUGUGACUGUGUGUAGCGCUCGCCUGCCUGCCGGGCGGCGCUCCCUCUAAGGGUAAGAGACUGACUAUGUACUGGCCUCCAGGUGUUGUUGGCGGCCCAGGGAAAUAAAAGUGUGAGCCAACGCACACUAUUCUGUA